rnacentral:rRNA from 1 species
GAUGAACGCUGGCGGCGUGCCUAAUACAUGCAAGUCGAGCGAACUUACCGGAAUCUUUCUCCUCUGGAAUGAUCGCCGCGGACGGGUGUGUCACAUGGAGGACAUCCCUAUAAAACUCGGGGAACUUCUUGAAACCCGAACGAAUACCGCGUAAAGUAUUAAAUCUCGUAUUUCAGGAGUGAAAGACGCGUAUCAAUUCGCUGCUAAAGGAAUCCGCUGCGCAUUAGCUAGUUGGUAAGGUAACGGCCUACCAAGGCAACGAUGCGUAGCCGACCUGAGAGGGUGAUCGGCCACACUGGAACUGAGGCACGGCCCAGACUCCUACGGGAGGCAGCAGUAGGGAAUCUUCCGCAAUGGGCGCAAGCCUGACGGAGCAACGCCGCGUGAGUGAUGAAGGUCUUCGGAUCGUAAAACUCUGUUACCAGGGAAGAACAAACGUGUAAGUAACUACGCACGCCUUGACGGUACCUAAUAAGAAAGCCCCGGCUAACUACGUG